rnacentral:tRNA from 3 species
GCCGACGUAGCACAGUGGUAGUGCAGCUGAUUCGUAAUCAGCAGGUCAGGGGUUCGAAUCCCCUCGUCGGCU